UCUUAGGUUUUUUUUUUCCUUUUCUUUAUUCUUAGCUCUCCUGUGAAAUAAGUAGUCAAGAUUAAGUUUUAAAUUUUGAUGUUGACAAUCAAACCAGCUUGUUUUAGUUUAUUUAAAAGUAAACGGUUUUUUUCAACAGAGUUUGGAAUACUAGAAGAGACCUGCUUUUUCAACUAUACUUAAAAUAUUAUGAGAGAUAAAGAGAGGGGAAAAAAAGAGGAGAAAAUCAUAAUCCAUUAAAAAUUGACUAAAAACUUCAGGAGAAAAUCAUUUUGUAGCAUGGACCAGGCGAGUUAAAAUGCUGAUUUAUCGUCCAGAAAGGCAACUGAAGCUGGGCCUGCUCUUGUAGUAGACUGGUUGGGUCCUUUUUGGCAAUAGCCUGUCAUGGACCAUCGCUGCGUUACUCUGCGAUUCUGCCUGUGCUCGUUUUAGGUCCAAUAACAUAAUUUCGGGCAUAUGAUAUAUCUACCCCAACGUUUCAAGAAAAUGACCGUGUAAGCUUUACACUUUCAAAACACGACAACCGUACCCCCAUAGUGAAUGAACACGAAAAAAAAAUGCUAACUUUGAAGUUUGAAACAUUAAACUUUAAAAGCACGUGGCAAAAUUUGUCAAGUUGUAUAUUUUAUAUGUUUUUAGUUUUAUAAUCAACUAAUAAUUAGUAUAAUUAAACAAAAUAAAAAGCAUUUUAUAAUUAAGCUGCACAAUAUAAGUGAAAUUUUUUUACUAUCUAAACUUGUUUUUGUUGGGGAAAAAUCCGGUUUUUAAAUUUUUAUUAAACCUUUUGAAGAUCGCUCUCAUAUAAUAUAUAAGAAUUCGUAUUCUAGAAAUCGUACCUUGUAAAUCUGAGUUUGCUUUUUCCGCUGAAGUGAUUUAGGCUCCUAGAUCACGAUCCGCCACCACCACUCCUGUUAGAUCACGAUCCGUCACCACCACGCUUGUUAGAUCACGAACUGUCUCCAAUGAUCUUCCAGGCUAUGACUCAGGUUCGAUCUGCACUUGACGUGUGGGCGCCUUUAUCACUACCAAAGCAACUAGCACGAGAAAAUUUUUCUCUCAACAAUGGAGAGAAAAAUCUUAUUCUCUGAUUUGUAUAAAGUGGCUUAUUCUUCUCCUUUUUGGGAAAAUAAGCCUUAUAUAUCUCCCUUUAGUGAAAACCCUAGGCUCCAAGGAUUCCCCCAAAAUAAAACUCACGUUACUUUUCAUUUAAUAGGGGACCCACCAUGUAAAAUAACAUAAGGCCCCUUACACAUAAGCUUAUUAAAUGGAGCCUCCCACUAAAUGAUAUAUUUAGGCUUUUGACCCAAAUAGCUAGUUAUCUUGCUUAUUAGUCCAGCAGUGGUGCAAUCAAUUAAAUGAGCUAACCCGGGGAUCAUUUGGGAACAUACAAUAGUGGCUACAAUAAUUAGGCCUGUAAUUAAACUAGCCCAAUUAUUUAAUUCCAAAUCUACUCCACUAAAAGAUUGGAACUGACUUCCAUAAUUGUAUGCUCGAAUAAUAAUUCGCCCCAAGCCACAUUGAUUUCUUUACUGCACAAUCCUUUGUACCACAUCGUUAAUUAAAUUGAUAUCUCAACUGUCCAAUCAAUUUAAUAACAUCUUAUUCCUUGAUCCUUACUGAUUUUCUCUAAUGAUCAUUUUCAACAUACUAAAUAUGUUGACACACUCUGGCCAGAGAAUUCUAUGAUCAAGUACCGAAAACCUAUCAAGAGAUGUGUUGUACAAAUUCUAUAUUGUUAAUCCAUAACUCCAAUACUCAUAAUUGCUCCCACCAAGAUACCGGGUAAUCUUGACCACAAGGAUGUGUCGUGCCCAUUGGUAACUCAAAUGAAAUAACAAUCACAAUCAUGAAAUCAUAAUUAACUCAAGAUUAAGAUUACAGUAAAAUCAAC
rnacentral:lncRNA from 1 species